GGAAUUGACAUUUGUUGAAUGCCUAUUACAGGUUGGGAACCACAGAGGCACUUUUUUUUCCCAUAAGUUUACUAUUUUAAUUCUCAUGACAUUGCUGUGAGUCAGGCAUGAUUAUUCCUGUUUGAACAGAAGAGAAAACUGAAGCCAGUGAAGUUGCACGACUUGAUGAAGAGCACAUGACUAACCAAGUGUGGAACUGGAACCGGAAACCAAGCCUUUGGACAUGGCUCAGUGCUUUGCAUAGUAAUGGUGACAUGAAUAUAACUGAGUAUUGCAUUCUCUGCUUGAUAUUUUGAGCAUUUUAUAAAGAUUAGCCCUGAGCUAACAUCUGCCACCAAGCCUCCUCUUUUGCUGGGGAAGACUGGCCCUGAGCUGGCAUCCGUGCCCAUCUUCUUCUACUUUAUAUGUGGGAUGCCUGCCACAGCAUGGCUUGACAAAUGUACCAAAACCUCAUUAGGAUCUGGCCAGCAUGUAGGGAAGUGACGCAGCUGAGGCUCUCUCAGGCAAAUACAUUAACAUUACAAAUGCAACUUCGUCUGAAUCUAUCUCAAGGAGCAUUUUCUCUCAGAGGUUGUAGAUGGGCAAUGGCGGAGAGAAAAAUACUGUUGAAAAUUCUCAGUUUUGUACUGCUUUGAAAUUUGGGCACAAUUUGUAACCUAAACUCCUCAAUAGUUAGUAUAACUAUUGUUUUUCUUCGAUUAUCAGAGUUACAUGUUCUUCAUGUUUUGACAUACUUGAAACCUGUAUGUUUCCUAAAACAGCAACAUCAAAAGAAACGUGUUCCAAUUUCUAUGAUUCUUAGUGGUCAUCAUCUUUGUGAGUGAUAAUAUAGUCAUACAUGCUAGGAUUCAGAUGCCUGAAUCUGUAAUAUUGCUUUAAGUGUUUUAAAAAGAGAUAACACUGUAAUGCAGAACUGAAAGGAAACAUUAUUUUAUACAAAGGACUAUUAAAUGCAA
rnacentral:lncRNA from 1 species